AUUGAACGCUGGCGGCAGGCCUAACACAUGCAAGUCGAGCGGAAGAAGGGAGCUUGCUCCUGGAUUCAGCGGCGGACGGGUGAGUAAUGCCUAGGAAUCUGCCUGGUAGUGGGGGAUAACGUCCGGAAACGGGCGCUAAUACCGCAUACGUCCUGAGGGAGAAAGUGGGGGAUCUUCGGACCUCACGCUAUCAGAUGAGCCUAGGUCGGAUUAGCUAGUUGGUGGGGUAAAGGCCUACCAAGGCGACGAUCCGUAACUGGUCUGAGAGGAUGAUCAGUCACACUGGAACUGAGACACGGUCCAGACUCCUACGGGAGGCAGCAGUGGGGAAUAUUGGACAAUGGGCGAAAGCCUGAUCCAGCCAUGCCGCGUGUGUGAAGAAGGUCUUCGGAUUGUAAAGCACUUUAAGUUGGGAGGAAGGGCAGUAAGUUAAUACCUUCCUGUUUUGACGUUACCAACAGAAUAAGCACCGGCUAACUUCGUG
rnacentral:rRNA from 1 species